rnacentral:rRNA from 1 species
UACGUAGGGGGCUAGCGUUAUCCGGAAUUACUGGGCGUAAAGGGUGCGUAGGUGGUUUCUUAAGUCAGAGGUGAAAGGCUACGGCUCAACCGUAGUAAGCCUUUGAAACUGGGAAACUUGAGUGCAGGAGAGGAGAGUGGAAUUCCUAGUGUAGCGGUGAAAUGCGUGGAUAUUAGGAGGAACACCAGUUGCGAAGGCGGCUCUCUGGACUGUAACUGACACUGAGGCACGAAAGCGUGGGGAGCAAACAGG